rnacentral:rRNA from 1 species
UACGAGGGGGGCGAGCGUUGUUCGGAAUUAUUGGGCGUAAAGGGUGCGUAGGCGGUUCCGCAAGUCCUGUGUGAAAUCUUCGGGCUCAACUCGAAGUCUGCACGGGAAACUGCGGGGCUUGAGUGUGGGAGAGGUGAGUGGAAUUCCCGGUGUAGCGGUGAAAUGCGUAGAUAUGCGGAGGAACACCGAUGGCGAAGGCAAUCCCCUGGACCUGUACUGACGCUCAUGCACGAAAGCGUGGGGAGCAAACAGG